GCACGUUGAAUAACUUUGCUGGAAGUCUUGUUGAUCGUUUGUGCUUGUGUUCUUUGGCACGCAGGGUGACGAUGAGGCAGAGUACGAGAAAUGGAGAGUGGAAAAUUCAUGGGGGGAAGAAAGUGGGAACAAAGGUAAUCUGACGCUGUAAGAC